rnacentral:tRNA from 1 species
UUAAAUAUAGUCAAAAUAUGAUAUUCAAUUUCGACUUGAAAGGUAUAAAAAGUAAUAUUAUUUAAU